AGAGUUUGAUCAUGGCUCAGAAUGAACGUUGGCGGCGUGGAUUAGGCAUGCAAGUCGUGCGAGAAAUUUCCUUCGGGGAAUGGACAGCGGCGAAAGGGAGAGUAAUACGUAGAAAUCUGCCCCUGGGCCUGGGAUAGCGUCGGGAAACUGGCGGUAAUACCGGAUAACGUCUUCGGACCAAAGGUGUGAUUCCGCCUGGGGAUGAGUCUACGACCUAUUAGCUAGUUGGAGGGGUAAUGGCCCACCAAGGCGAUGAUGGGUAGCGGGUGUGAGAGCACGACCCGCCUCACUGGGACUGAGACACUGCCCAGACAUCUACGGAUGGCUGCAGUCGAGAAUCUUUGUCAAUGGACGAAAGUCUGAACAAGCGACGCCGCGUGCGGGAUGAAGGCCCUCGGGUUGUAAACCGCUGUCGUAAGGGAGCAAGUCCAUGGGGGUUCUCCCCCAUGGUUGAGUGAUCUUAGGAGGAAGGACGGGCUAAGUUCGUGCCAGCAGCCGCGGUAAGACGAACCGUCCAAACGUUAUUCGGUAUCACUGGGCUUAAAGAGUUCGUAGGCGGCCAUGUAGGUCAGGUGUGAAAUCCCACAGCUCAACUGUGGAACUGCGCUUGAAACCACAUGGCUUGAGGAAGAUAGAGGUGAGCGGAACAGAUGGUGGAGCGGUGAAAUGCGUUGAUAUCAUCUGGAACACCGGUGGCGAAAGC
rnacentral:rRNA from 1 species